rnacentral:rRNA from 1 species
AGUGAACGCUGGCGGUAGGCCUAACACAUGCAAGUCGAACGGCAGCACAGUAAGAGCUUGCUCUUACGGGUGGCGAGUGGCGGACGGGUGAGGAAUACAUCGGAAUCUACUUUUUCGUGGGGGAUAACGUAGGGAAACUUACGCUAAUACCGCAUACGACCUACGGGUGAAAGCAGGGGAUCUUCGGACCUUGCGCGAUUGAAUGAGCCGAUGUCGGAUUAGCUAGUUGGCGGGGUAGAGGCCCACCAAGGCGACGAUCCGUAGCUGGUCUGAGAGGAUGAUCAGCCACACUGGAACUGAGACACGGUCCAGACUCCUACGGGAGGCAGCAGUGGGGAAUAUUGGACAAUGGGCGCAAGCCUGAUCCAGCCAUACCGCGUGGGUGAAGAAGGCCUGCGGGUUGUAAAGCCCUUUUGUUGGGAAAGAAAAGCAGCAGGUUAAUACCCCGCUGUUCGGACGGUACCCAAAGAAUAAGCACCGGCGAACUUCGU